GGAGAGAUGCCCGAGAGGCCGAAGGGGCACGACUGGAAAUCGUGUGUGGAGUUAAAAGCUUCACCGUGGGUUCAAAUCCCACUCUCUCCGCCA
rnacentral:tRNA from 1 species